rnacentral:rRNA from 1 species
UAUUAGAUACUUGGUGAUGCGAUACUUGGUGUGAAUUGCAGAAUUCAGUGAAUCAUCGAAUCUUUGAACGCACCUUGCGCUCCUUGGUAUUCCGAGGAGCAUGCCUGUUUGAGUGUCAUGAAAUUCUCAACCUAACGAGUCUUUGCGGGCUCGGUAGGAUUGGACUUGGAGGUUCUUGUCGGCCUGCUUCCACGGGGUUUCGGGUUCCUCCCAAAGGCAUUUAGUUGGGUUCCUUGCGGAUCGGCUCCCGGUGUGAUAAUUGUCUACGCCGCGACCGUGAAGCGUUUGGCGAGCUUCUAAUCCGUCUCACUAGAGACAAUACACUUAUGACCUCUGACCUCAAAUCAGGUAGGACUACCCGCUGAACUUAAGCAUAUCAAUAAGCGGAGGAAAGAGGAGGAA